AGCGAACGUUUGCGGCGGGCUUAACACAUGCAAGUCGAACGAGAAUCCCUUCGGGGAGGAAAGUGGCGCACGGGUGCGUAACACGUGGAUAACCAACCCAUUGGUUUGGGACAACACCGGGAAACUGGUGCUAAUACCAGAUGUGUCGCAGCUGUCUUCAGGCGGUUGCGAGAAAGGCCCGCAAGGGUCGCCAACGGACGGGUCCGCGUCCCAUCAGCUAGUUGGUGAGGUAAUGGCUCACCAAGGCAAAGACGGGUAGCUGGUCUGAGAGGAUGAUCAGCCACACUGGAACUGAGACACGGUCCAGACUCCUACGGGAGGCAGCAGUGGGGAAUAUUGCGCAAUGGGCGAAAGCCUGACGCAGCCACGCCGCGUGAGCGAUGAAGGUCUUCGGGAUCGUAAAGCUCUGUGGGGGGAGAAGAAGAAAGCCGGUGAAGAGCCGGCCCUGACGGUAUCCCCUUAGCAAGCACCGGCUAACUCCGUGCCAGCAGCCGCGGUAAAGU
rnacentral:rRNA from 1 species